rnacentral:rRNA from 1 species
AUUGAACGCUGGCGGCAUGCUUUACACAUGCAAGUCGAACGGUAACAGGCCGCAAGGUUCUGACGAGUGGCGAACGGGUGAGUAAUGCAUCGGAACGUGCCCAGUCGCGGGGGAUAACUACUCGAAAGAGUAGCUAAUACCGCAUACGAUCUAUGGAUGAAAGCGGGGGACCGUAAGGCCUCGCGCGAUUGGAGCGGCCGAUGUUAGAUUAGGUAGUUGGUGGGGUAAAGGCUCACCAAGCCAACGAUCUGUAGCUGGUCUGAGAGGACGACCGGCCACACUGGGACUGAGACACGGCCCAGACUCCUACGGGAGGCAGCAGUGGGGAAUUUUGGACAAUGGGCGCAAGCCUGAUCCAGCAAUGCCGCGUGCAGGAAGAAGGCCUUCGGGUUGUAAACUGCUUUUGUACGGAACGAAACGGCUCUGGUUAAUACCCGGGGCUAAUGACGGUACCGUAAGAAUAAGCACCGGCUAACUACGUG